ensembl:antisense Gm16052 predicted gene 16052
UUUGUGUCUCCGCGGAGCGCAUGCCACCUCGGGGAAAACAACGAAUCUGAGUUAGAACGGGGAGAGAGAGACACUAGCGUGAGUUUUGUUAAUCUUUUAAAGCCUCCCGGUGAACCUAGAAACCCAAAAAUUAUCUUGAACAGCAAAUGCUCUGGGGUUUAGAGAACGUUUGUUUCUUUGUCUUUUUCAUUGCCUCUUCCGUGCCAAAAACAAUCUGUUUGCUGGAGAACACAUCCGGAAAGAGCUGUUUUCCCCUGUUCAUCCAGUGAGAAGAUAUGUUUUCUCUCUACCAGUUAGAUUUCUUCUUUUGUCAGAAAGAAGAGCAUCUGUCCUCCAGGCUGGGCUUUGUCUCCGUUUGCUCUGCGACUGCACUAGCGCAGCAAGGCUACAUAAGGAGGCUUUUCAGCAGAGGAGCCUGGUGUUGAACUCGUGCCAUGGGGAAUGAAUUCUUCUAUAGACCCCUCGUCCUCUUCUGGAAGUUAAAGGGGGGCGAUUUGCAAAAAAA